GACGAGCGCUGGCGGCGUGCCUAAUACAUGCAAGUUGAGCGAUGAAGAUUGGUGCUUGCACCAAUUUGAAGAGCAGCGAACGGGUGAGUAACGCGUGGGGAAUCUGCCUUUGAGCGGGGGACAACAUUUGGAAACGAAUGCUAAUACCGCAUAACAACUUUAAACAUAAGUUUUAAGUUUGAAAGAUGCAAUUGCAUCACUCAAAGAUGAUCCCGCGUUGUAUUAGCUAGUUGGUGAGGUAAAGGCUCACCAAGGCGAUGAUACAUAGCCGACCUGAGAGGGUGAUCGGCCACAAUGGGACUGAGACACGGCCCAAACUCCUACGGGAGGCAGCAGUAGGGAAUCUUCGGCAAUGGACGAAAGUCUGACCGAGCAACGCCGCGUGAGUGAAGAAGGUUUUCGGAUCGUAAAACUCUGUUGGUAGAGAAGAACGUUGGUGAGAGUGGAAAGCUCAUCAAGUGACGGUAACUACCCAGAAAGGGACGGCUAACUACGUG
rnacentral:rRNA from 1 species